rnacentral:rRNA from 1 species
CGAAGCAGCUCGUGCGGGAGGUCACUUCACUUCACCCGCGGCGGUGAGGACCCAGCUACUACUGCCAGCGUUCGCGCCCUGCCACUGUACCUGGGGUCGGCACCACGUCCGUGGUAAGGUGCUCGCCGCCGCCUCGGCACUCACGGUCCCGCUGUAGGAGCUCGUAACCGCGCCGGCUUGGUCGUUUCUCGGCCAGCCCGUGGCGGCCAAGGUCUCCGGCGUAAUCGGUCCCGGUUUUCAUGGUUAAGGACUACCACUAAUCAUAUACGUACUGAUUUAGCCUGUCUCCGUGGAACAAUAACAUCGUUACUCUAGUUCGCUCGCGCGCUCACACCAACAACGACGGUAACAGACUACGGAGCCGCGGUACCUAGGGCUGCGGGUAUCGCUCCUCGUUCGUCUCCCCUUGCUGUUAGGAAGCCACCAAGAGAAACGCAU